UCAGUUAUAUUUAAUUUGUUAUUACAAAGUUUUUUUUAUCAAAUUAAUUAUUGUAAUAAUUGAUUUUUUUAUAAAAAUAAUAAAAUAAUAAUGAUAAAUUUUUUUAUAAAAUAAAUUUGGUCAAUUUUUUUUUCAGUAAUUUAAAUUAAUAUCAUUCAACGUGAUCCAAAAAAAUGAUAACAGGACAAUUCUGACAUGGAUAGUCAGUAGUUUAAAAAAAGAAGAAAUUUUUUUUGGUCUUAAUCUAGCAUCAAAUGUCAGUCGGAAUAUAAAUGCCACCAAUACUAAUCACCAUGAAGAUUAUAUAGACGAUUCUUAUUAGAUGAUGAUCGUUUUUACCAGUUAAGGAUCAAGCUAACGAUUACCAUAUGACUAUCGUUAUACAAAUCAAUCCAGCGAUUACCUGAUGAAUAUUGUUACUCAAAUCAAGCCAACGUUUACCGGAGGACUAUCUUUAUUCAAAUCAAGCCAACAAUUACAUGAUGACUAUUAGUACAACUAGUGAUCAAGCUCACGAUUACAUAAAUAUGAUGUAAAUGUAGAUAACUGGAGAUCAGACAUUUUUACGCUAUGUGAUAUGAUAUGGGAAAUUCUUAUUAGCAGAUUAGCGUCCUUACAAGUUACACGAAGAUGUCAAUAUAGCAUACCUCUGUAGAGCCAUUAAUAUUCAUUAUUCUCUUAAUAUCAAUAAUAAUCAAGAUGCAUAGUAAUGGAAAUUCUCUUAUUUUAAAAAAUCUUGCUUCUAUGGACGCUUCGUCACUGUGUCUUGGUCACCACCAUUUUAAAGCUGCUCAGUUGGGAAGAAGUUUUUCUCAGUUCUUACUAAAGGAAAUUGGUUUUUGGUAGAUCGAAAAUUUAAUCGGUCCAAUAGUAAUCA